rnacentral:lncRNA from 1 species
CUAAGCACUAAGCAACAGACUCAUCCAAAGCAAUUCCUUGUCUGAGUCAAGGCCAUGUCAAUGUAUUAACACUCUGUUUACUUCAGACCAAAGUUCAGAUGAAUCAGAGAACAUCCAUGUGCCUCUGACUUCCACUUCAUGAUGCUCCUUUGGUUUAGUUAUUGAGGGAGACCCUGGCCCAGAAAACUCUAAGGAUUGAUUGCUCUUGAAGGCACAAGAAAUCACAAUUGCAAUUACCUGGCCCCAGAAGAUAUGUGUGGAUGUUGGUUUUCUGCGUGGGGCAAGGCACUUUGUUGGCUGUAAUACAACAUACCAGCACCGGAAUUUGAGGUGCAAACUCCUCCCAGGCUACAGGAUCAGAACUGCAGUCUCUAAAACAAAACAAAACAAAACAAAACAAAAACAGAAAAGCAAACCUAUGGACGCUAUCAGCUUGCAGCUGAUUCCCUGUAUGGUCACUGGGAAGCUAAGGUCAAGCUGUCAGACCACUGCCAACAGCUGCAGAAGGAGGUGGGCUUGUGUUUCUGUGCUUUUUAAUUACUCUUGGGCUUACCAUUUUGCUGCCCACCUUCCCUUUUGCCAUGAUAAGCUCAGUUCUUAGUAUUUUACCUUUUUGAUUUAUUUUUUUACCUUUUGGAUUUUAUUUAUUUAUUUUGGAAUUACACUUGUUAUUGUGAGAUCAUUGUAAAUUCGUAUUUAGUUGUAAGAAACAAUGCAGGAAGAUCCAGUGUACCCUCUACCCAGUUGUCCUGUCCCAGCGAUAACACCUUGCCUGUCUAUCGUAAACUGUCACAGCCAGGAAAUUGACACUGGUGCAAUCCAGUAGGCACGCUCUCCCCACCUGUCUACCAAUGACACCUGGUGAUACCAGGUAGCUUGCAUCUCUCUAUCAGGAGAAAGGAAAGUAUUUGUUCCAAGGCAUUUUUUAAGCAUUUUGCUUUAUGUGCCCAGUUUCUGGCUCUUGUUGGCUUCAAUCUACUAAGUCAGCGUAGAGAUCUCACAGAGGAAGGGAAGAAAAAUCCGUCUCCAUCUCAUGGUGGCUCAGAUGCUCUAGGUGUAGGCAGUCCUUACCUCACCUUAUAGUGUGAGACCAUAGUUGAAGACUGUGUGAGCCAAAGCCAUGUGAGGGCACUUAAUAAUCAAAGAAAAGGAUGAAAGAAAAAUGUUUCACAGAAGAACGUUUUGAGAUAUAUUUAAA